GGACGAACGCUGGCGGCGUGCCUAAUACAUGCAAGUAGAACGGAGGAGCUUGCUCUUCGAGUUGCGAACGGGUGAGUAACGCGUAGGUAACCUGCCUUGUAGCGGGGGAUAACUAUUGGAAACGAUAGCUAAUACCGCAUAACAAUGGGACACAUGUCUUUAUUUGAAAGGGGAUUGCUCCACUACAAGAUGGACCUGCGUUGUAUUAGCUAGUAGGUGAGGUAACGGCUCACCUAGGCGACGAUACAUAGCCGACCUGAGAGGGUGAUCGGCCACACUGGGACUGAGACACGGCCCAGACUCCUACGGGAGGCAGCAGUAGGGAAUCUUCGGCAAUGGGGGCAACCCUGACCGAGCAACGCCGCGUGAGUGAAGAAGGUUUUCGGAUCGUAAAGCUCUGUUGUAAGUCAAGAACGAGUGUGAGGAAAUUCACACUGUGACGGUAGCUUACCAGAAAGGGACGGCUAACUACGUGCCAGCAGCCGCGGUAAUACGUAGGUCCCAAGCGUUGUCCGGAUUUAUUGGGCGUAAAGCGAGCGCAGGCGGUUUGAUAAGUCUGAAGUUAAAGGCUGUGGCU
rnacentral:rRNA from 1 species